GAUGAACGCUGGCGGCGUGCCUAAUACAUGCCAGUAGAACGCUGAAGGAGGAGCUUGCUCUUCUGGAUGAGUUGCGAACGGGUGAGUAACGCGUAGGUAACCUGCCUGGUAGCGGGGGAUAACUAUUGGAAACGAUAGCUAAUACCGCAUGACAACAGUUAUUGCAUGAUAACUGUUUAAAAGGGGCAACUGCUCCACUACCAGAUGGACCUGCGUUGUAUUAGCUAGUUGGUGAGGUAACGGCUCACCAAGGCGACGAUACAUAGCCGACCUGAGAGGGUGAUCGGCCACACUGGGACUGAGACACGGCCCAGACUCCUACGGGAGGCAGCAGUAGGGAAUCUUCGGCAAUGGACGGAAGUCUGACCGAGCAACGCCGCGUGAGUGAAGAAGGUCUUCGGAUCGUAAAGCUCUGUUGUAAGAGAAGAACGAGUGUGAGAGUGGAAAGUUCACACUGUGACGGUAUCUUACCAGAAAGGGACGGCUAACUACGUG
rnacentral:rRNA from 1 species